GCCACAUCAGAUAUUCACCAAGAAAAUAAUAGUAGCGCACAGCGGUGGUAGAAGAAGAAGGAUGAAGGGCGUGCGAGUUUCUGCGCACAUUGGCAAGCAGCACGCCGCUCUCGACCUCAACAUGGCGGGCGAGACAACAGCAGGCGAAUCAGCGGCCGCCGCUCUCGGUCACUAAUGAGUACGUACAAACCAACAGUCUGCGUUUACAAACUAUCCAUCUCACACUUUUUUGUUGCGCUAGCCUUUUCCAAAGUCUUUUUUACAGUUACCUGCCUGGAUGGAAGGGGAAAAACUGAGAAAGGUUCUCUUGGAUGUUUGGCUGACAUUUAUCAUCUCACGCCAGCGCUGACAGCAGAGAAGGGAGACGGUGGAGCUCGGGAUGCAUGAAACCAUUUUGUUUUUUCUUUUAUGUUAGUGAGGUCAUGCUGUGCCAUUGGUGCAUUUUAACUUUAACCAACUUGUCGGCUGCCCAAAGUGUCCUGCUGAAAAAAACUGAGACAAAAGCUUCUUACAGAUAAAUUCAGUCUCUCACAGGCAGUCUGAGAAAGGCUACUCGAUAAUCGGGUCAACGAGUUUACGUUGAAGGAAGGAAAUUGAUUCCAUGAUUAAGCAGCAACCGAUAAACUGGGGCUUAACUUAUCGGCUGCCUAAAAAGGCUGCCGAAGAAUUUGAGAGCGAAACAAAAGAGACGGAGGAAAUUUUAGGAGCGAAUUGUAAAUAGUGGAUGACCUGUAACACAUCCCGGUGGAAACUGUCACUGAGUAUUUACCACGUCUGCUUUCUGUUCUCAACUCCCUUGAACUAUCUCCAUCUGCCCCCUUUCCUGCUGCGCUCAAGCUCUGCUGAUGAAAUGAUGAUGAAAUACAUCCCUACAGUCUGUU